UCCCUCUUAGCUCAGUUGGUAGAGCGCGUCACUAGUAUCUCAGAUCAAUGACGAGGUCAGUCGUUCAAAUCGGCUAGCGGGAA